UGAAAACUUCCUGAGGCCUCCUCAGAAGCAGAUGCUGCUAUGCUUCCUGUACAGCCUGAAGAACUAAACAUUUCUAUACAUUUAUGAGACCCAACUCCAAAAGCAUACUGGAAUGGAAUUAAAGAUAGAACUACAGAAGCUAAAGACAGCUGAUCAAACUAAAAAAACAAGUUAAAGGUGAGGACGCCAAGGCUCAGAAUAGUCACUUGCCCAUGAUCACUGCUCUUAUAGCGCCAACUCAGAGCUCAGGCAAUGCUCAUGUUCUUUCCACUGUGCCUCAUGGCUCAUGUCUGACUCUUCUAGAAAUGUAGGCAAAUCCCCUGCCUUCUAUGGGUCUCAGAUUUCCAUAAAAAAUAAAAUCAAUGGAUCAAGUUAA
rnacentral:antisense_RNA from 1 species